rnacentral:misc_RNA from 1 species
GAUGAAGAACGCAGCGAAGUGCGAUAAGUAAUGUGAAUUGCAGAAUUCCGUGAAUCAUCGAAUCUUUGAACGCAAAUUGCACUUUCUGGUAUUCCGGAGAGUAUGCCUGUUUGAGGGUCAGUGUAAUAAAUAAAUCGUGGUUGUUACCACCUUUCGUGGUGACGCUUCGGAAUUGAGUCGUCUUUACCCUUCGGGUUAAGUGACUUAAAAUUUUUUCAUACGAUUUCGAAACGUAUUUAAUGUAUUAUGUACGUUCACGAAUAUCGAAUGUUUUAUUAGGUGCGGUCAUUUUUCAUGAAUUCGCGUCUAUAAUUUUUUUUUUUUUGACCUCAAAUCAGGUAAGAAUACCCGCUGAACUUAAGCAUAUCAAUAAGCGGAGGA